AUGCUUCUCCUAAAGACUAAGCCAUGCAUGCCUUCGAAUACGAGGAAGCAAUUCUCUCUGAAUCUGCGAACGGCUCCGCACACCAGUUGUAAACUAUAGCAAGCAAGCCUGUAUUCCUUCGGGAGUGCAGGUUACAUGGAUAACCCUGGUAAUUCUGAGGCUAAUACGAGAACGUACAACUUUGCUAACCGGGUAACUGGAAGGCGGAGAGGUGUGUGAUCAAGCACGAAGGAGAGCUAGGAGAAGUCGCACGCCUGGACCGCGCUACAAACAGUCGGGAUUCCUCACGGUUUACCGCCUGAGCGGCUCUUGCAAUGUGCUUCUGACCUAUCAACUAGAUGGCAGCGCAAAGGACAUGCUAUGGUUACAACGGGUACAGAGGAUAAGGGUUCGAUCCUGGAGAGUGGGCCUGAGAGAUUGCUCAUACUUCUAAGGAAGGCAGCAGGCGCGCAACGUUCCCCUUGUGCAAUGCAUGAGGGCGUUAGGGGACAUAUGAAUGCUUGCCUUUUAGGUGAGCAAUUCAAAUGGGUUUGUUGUAAACAGGCUU
rnacentral:rRNA from 1 species